rnacentral:rRNA from 1 species
GCUUGCUCCUCUGACGUUAGCGGCGGACGGGUGAGUAACACGUGGAUAACCUACCUAUAAGACUGGGAUAACUUCGGGAAACCGGAGCUAAUACCGGAUAAUAUAUUGAACCGCAUGGUUCAAUAGUGAAAGACGGUUUUGCUGUCACUUAUAGAUGGAUCCGCGCCGCAUUAGCUAGUUGGUAAGGUAACGGCUUACCAAGGCAACGAUG